rnacentral:tRNA from 1 species
GUAAAGCUCAGUGGUGGAGUGCGUGCUUCGCAUGCACGAGGUCCUGGGUUCAAUCCCCCCGUAC